rnacentral:rRNA from 1 species
GAUGAACGCUGGCGGCGUGCUUAACACAUGCAAGUCGAACGAUGAAGCCCAGCUUGCUGGGUGGAUUAGUGGCGAACGGGUGAGUAACACGUGAGUAACCUGCCCCUGACUUUGGGAUAAGCCCGGGAAACUGGGUCUAAUACCGGAUAUGACUAUGGAACGCAUGGUUUGUGGUUGAAAGAUUUAUCGGUGAGGGAUGGACUCGCGGCCUAUCAGCUUGUUGGUGAGGUAAUGGCUCACCAAGGCGACGACGGGUAGCCGGCCUGAGAGGGUGACCGGCCACACUGGGACUGAGACACGGCCCAGACUCCUACGGGGGGCAGCAGUGGGGAAUAUUGCACAAUGGGCGAAAGCCUGAUGCAGCGACGCCGCGUGAGGGAUGACGGCCUUCGGGUUGUAAACCUCUUUCAGUAGGGAAGAAGCGAAAGUGACGGUACCUGCAGAAGAAGCGCCGGCUAACUACGUGCCAGCAGCCGCGGUAA